rnacentral:rRNA from 1 species
AAAACUUUCAACAACGGAUCUCUUGGUUCUGGAAUCGAUGAAAAACGCAGCGAAAUGCGAUAAGUAAUGUGAAUUGCAAAAUUCAGUGAAUCAUCCAAUCUUUGAACGCACAUUGCGCCCUCUGGCAUUCUGGGGGGCAUGCCUGUUCGAGCGUCAUUA